rnacentral:rRNA from 1 species
UACGUAGGGAGCAAGCGUUGUUCGGAUUUACUGGGCGUAAAGGGCGCGUAGGCGGCGCGGUAAGUCACUUGUGAAAUCUCUGAGCUUAACUCAGAACGGCCAAGUGAUACUGCAGUGCUAGAGUGCAGAAGGGGCAAUCGGAAUUCUUGGUGUAGCGGUGAAAUGCGUAGAUAUCAUUUGGAACGCCAAUGGUGAAAACAGCUCGCUGGGAAUGAUCUGACACUGAGACGCGAAAGCCAGGGGAGCGAACGGG